GAGAACCUUCUUUGCAAAUUGCAUAAAUUGUUAUACGGACUCAAACAGGCUUCUAGGCAAUGGUUUGCUAAAUUUUCACAACCCAUUCUUGAUGUUGGUUAUACUCAAUCCAAAGCCGACUACUCUCUAUUUUAUAAACACAAUUGGGAAGUAAAUAUCUCAAAUCCUAGGUCAAAUAAUUAAGCCAGUCAAUUGGGAAUUAUUUGACCUAAUUGGGAGUUACUCGAUUUAAUUGAGAAUUCUUUAAUUCCUG
rnacentral:lncRNA from 1 species